UGUUUCCAAAAUUAUUGAAUAAUUUUCUUUUUCAUUUCAGGAAUUUUAUUCAUUUUUUUUUCCUCUAAUGUUACGCUUUGACAAAACAUUAUAGUCGUUUAUCUCGGUGUUGGCUAUUACCGGAUAUCAGUGAUGAAAGAUUAUAAAAUUUGUCAAUAGGUGGCUAUGCUACUAUUGUAUAUGUACCAUAUCUUUGGCGCAAUAAUCAACUUGAGGAUACGUGAGGUGGUUGCUGUCCAUUGUGGCCGACUGGAAACUGCUCAUCACUUUUGGACGGAGUGCCCGGAAUACCUCCACGGACGGAUAAAAUUAGGUGCCGACCUACAUCUCACAAUAACCUCACACCAAACUUUAGACCAUAUAUACUGGCCGGCUACUAAUGUGAAUCCAAUAACGCAUAUCUCCCGACUGGCGAUAUACAUUCGGUCUACUAGACGUUUCAUCUAGACUCAUCAGCACAAGAAUCGUCAUCGGAGGAAAAAGCAUAAGCUAAACCCUCCAUAUAAAGAGUGAAGAAGAAGGUGGUUGCUGUGUGGAAUCGUUGGGAUGUUAUCAAUUGGUUUAUGUUUGAAGCAAUUUUAGGAAUAUCUACUCAACUGUCUUUUGCCUAUGGUUUGUAAUUAUUUUUUAAUGAGUUUGAAGAGAUCAAUUGAAUUCGAAUUCGGUGAUAAAUAGAAAAUAGUUAACUAGGUAAUAUAAGCUAAUAGAUGAUUGGCAACUUUGUUUCACAUUAGAUUUUAUCGUUCUUCAAAAUUCUUUAUCAUCACGUAAUUUAUAUAUUAAAAUAUCUUAGUUUUUAUAAAUGCAGUUUCGAAUUUUUUUUUUUAUAUUAUUGUAACUUGAUUAUGUUAAAUAAGGUUAGAUUAAAGUUGUUAUAAUUUCUAAUCGAAUGGAGGAAUAGAUGUUAGUCAGUUAAUGACACUUGCACGCACAAUCAGCCUCUGUUAUGUUAGAAAUGGAAAAUUUGAUUUUUCUGUGUAAUAAGUCUGAAUUGAAGGGCAAGGCCAUUGCCUACAAGGAUAGACAAAGCCUAGUCAUCGGUUUACUCUCUUGUUAAAAGCAGCUCCAAUCAAAGAUCUACACUAACUUGUAAGAUAGCUAACUCUCAUUGAAAUCCUUUGAAAUUUUUUUUGUUUACAGCGUCCCUAUGAGCACGCCUACGAAUUACACUCAAUGCAGAAAAGCUACCCAUCAGGCGAUCUUUGCAUUUGGGCAUUCUUAAGCAAAUUUGUUUAUAAAGAUCGAAUAUUAAACAAUUAUUGCUUUUUAUUAUAUUAAUGAUUCAC
rnacentral:lncRNA from 1 species